AUUGAACGCUGGCGGCAGGCCUAACACAUGCAAGUCGAGCGAGCGGCGGACGGGUGAGUAAUGUCUGGGAAACUGCCUGAUGGAGGGGGAUAACUACUGGAAACGGUAGCUAAUACCGUAUACCAUCAGAUGUGCCCAGAUGGGAUUAGCUAGGAGGUGGGGUAAUGGCUCACCUAGGCGACGAUCCCUCGCUGGUCUGCGAGGAUGACCAGCCACACGGGAACUGAUACACGGUCCAGACUCCUACGGGAGGCAGCAGUGGGGAAUAUUGCACAAUGGGCGCAAUCCGGAUGCAGCCAUGCCGCGUGUGUGAAGAAGGCCUUCGGGUUGUAAAGCACGUUCAGCGGGGAGGCGUUACCCGCAGAAGAAGCACCGGCUAACUCCGUGCCAGCAGCCGCGGUAAUUC
rnacentral:rRNA from 1 species